rnacentral:lncRNA from 1 species
GCAGCGUUCCUGGAAGAGGAUUACUACGGUUCCAACGUUCUGGCGGGACUCAACGGAGACGACUUCCACCACGACAUGAAGGACUGCAGACCGGUAAGAACCGGACACUUGUCCAUUUUGUUCUGCAGAACGCGUUUUACGUUACCUACGUUGUUGUGUUUAUUUGACUCAUUGUGUGUUUUUUAUUUUGUUUCCAUCCCAUUAUCGACAGAAAACCCAAGUGUCUAAAUAUCCGCUCGUGAAGCGCCGAAGCUCCAAGGUAACGAGACGUCCCAUGUUGAUGAUGUCAUCGCUCAUCUACAUCAUGACCUAAUAUGGCAAUACCCGCACGCUCCCGCAGUAGCUUUUAAAAGUGGGCAUCACAUCGGCGCCUCUCUAAACACAUCAUAAACAUUAAUUUCUUGUAUUUCCGUUUGUUGCUUUUAGGAGGACAUGCUGGAGGAGUGCAGCCCUUAUCGCCCAGAAGGGUUCUCUGAGAAGUGGGAGGAUGGAGAGGAGGAGGAACUGGAUUACGCCAAACAGAAAAAUCCCAAACACAAAAGUCAUAAACAGAAGCCGUCCCAGAAGAAGAUGUUCCCCAACGGAUCCCCCAUGGGCUCCUUCCUGGAGGACGAAGACUACCAACAGGGUGAAGGGGGUCCCCCCAGCCCUUGGGGGCCGUACGAGGAGGAGGAGGAGAACGAGAUGGACCUCUCAAAACCCGUACUGAAUUUCUUCGUAACGCCAAAUAUAACGAAUAUUUCCGUUUUGGUUUAUAUUGCUGUUAUGUUUUUUUUACCUUUUUUUUUUUUUUUCUCUCCACUUUCUUUAGCAUAAGAGGUUGCCCAAACCAAAAGGGAUUAAGAAGCACAAAGCAAAGGUAAGUCAAAGUGCCUAAAGUCAGAAGUAAUUCAAGUAAAGUGCAGGCAAAGCGCUUGACGGUUGCCACGGGUAGUUCUUUAGUAUUUCCAAUGUGUCACUUGGUUUUUAAUUCUCUUCUCACCUUUCUAUUUGUCCUCGGGUGUCCAUCCAGAGUGGGACCCUGGAUGUGGACCCCCCAGGAGCCACCUCUAGUGACUACUUCCAGUCCGAGGCUGCCGCGGUACGGACCACCACACGCAUGUUUUAGAAGCUUCUACCAGUCAGGGUUUAGCACCCCGAUAAUCUGCGUGACUUCAAAGCGUUCAAAAUCAAAUCUAAAAACGUCUAACUUCUAAAACCUUAAAUUCCGGAGAGCCGAUCUUUAAUAUUCAACUUAAGCUUCCCUUCUGUAGACCUUUUUAAACAUUUUUAUGAAAUGCACGUCAAAUCUAAAAUCACAUGAGGACAUCAGUCACAUGGAGGUAGAAGGUGGAGCUGGAAAAUCCCUGUACUGCAGAAUAAAAAAAAAGUGUGUUGUGUGAACACGGAAGACCUUUUAAUAUGCGACAGAAA